GCCACGAGGGUAAUUUUUCUACAAGGGCUAGGUAAUUCAGCGGCAAUCCAACGAAAUUUUAAGUAAACCAAGAGUACGAAUACACAAGCGUUUAAAAAUUACGAAAUGCAUCCUUAUCUACAACUUUUGGGACGCUCCUGAGCCAAAGCGUCACGUACAUGGCAAAGCCAACGAAUCAAGAGCGGUAAUGGGGGGAC